rnacentral:lncRNA from 1 species
GGGAAAACAACCAGAAUGGACAUUGUCCAGGCUUUCAGAGUGGCACAGCAAGAAAAGUGCACUAUUGUAACAGCAUCAGAAGCAGAAAUCACAGAUGGCACAACAAGAAAAUAACCCAACUUUUAUUUUCUCUCCUUUUUCCCCUAGCAGCACCUCCAGUUUUUGGAGAGCUAGACAUUGUGAAAGGUGCAGCACUGGCAGAUGCACUGCCAUUCUGGUGCAGAAGACAGAGACCCUGGGAGGGCUCUGCRGCCCUUCACUCCUCUCUCAGCGAGUCGUGUGCCUUAUCACAAGGAGUCACUUGCAAACAAAAUCUUUGGCAAAAUGGCAGACACCUGAAGCCCCAGUUUGGCACUAA